GCCCCGGGGCCCGCGGCGCUCGGCGUCGCGCUGGGGCAAGCAGGCGCUCCCGUGGAGCCUGGCGCGCAGUGGGCGCCAGCACGCAAGCUCUAGUUCAGGGAAUGAGUAAGUCUGCCCUGCAAAGCUCUGCUCCAAGCCACCGCCUCCAGGCAGCCUCCCGGAUCUCCCCAGUUUAGUCACGCAUCACCCACCCGAGGCGGGCGCUAGGACCCCGCGGAGCCAGUUCCGGAGCGGCCCAGAACUCCCAUUCCCAGAGUGCCUUGGUUUAUUUGCAUCGUUUUGUCCUGGGUGACGUCAGCUGAGUGAGGCCGCGCCUCGACCAAUGGGUAGCCUCAGGGUGUUAGGACCUGGCCAUAUAAGGAAGGUUGGAUCCUGGAUUCUGGCCCCUGAAAAGGUGUAGAAUAUAUUUUAACGUGGACCGUGGUGAAUUUACCAUCAGAGGCACUUGGCCUGCGGCUGCCCUCCCUAACCGCUUUCUUGGUACAGCAAGCUUGACUUGAGAAAUCACUCUUCUCGGAAUCCCAGUUCCUCAACUGAAACAUAGGUAAAAACCGACCUCUGCUUGGUCCCUGCUUACAGAGUUGUGUGUGAGUCGAGAGCCAGGAAAUACCUUGCAAACGGCCAGGUUUUGAUCCUGACCUUAAUUCUUGCAAAAUUGUCUUCAGCACAUUGUAUGCAGCC